rnacentral:rRNA from 1 species
UACAGAGGUCUCAAGCGUUGUUCGGAUUUACUGGGCGUAAAGCGCGUGUAGGCGGAUUUGUAAGUUGGGGGUGAAAUCCCGAGGCUCAACCUCGGAACUGCCUCCAAAACUACAAGUCUGGACCUAAGUAGAGGCAAGUGGAAUUGCGAGUGUAGAGGUGAAAUUCGUAGAUAUUCGCAGGAACACCAGUGGCGAAGGCGACUUGCUGGACUUAUGGUGACGCUGAGACGCGAAAGCGUGGGGAGCAAACAGG